rnacentral:snoRNA from 1 species
AUAUGAUGAUGAGUUAUUCGGAGUUGAAUACUCAUAAUUACACGUUUUUGAGUAUUAUGAUUGUCAUCUGAAUAGGAAGAUCUGAUGC